GACUUUUCUGAAGACAAUGAGCUAUCUCAGUUAAUUCAAUCAGUUACAGAUCAAACUCCGUGUUCUACUGUGUUCCCCAUUCUCACUACUGCACUUGAAUAGCACUUAA
rfam:Pan troglodytes isolate Yerkes chimp pedigree #C0471 (Clint) chromosome 4, whole genome shotgun sequence.